GGGGGGGGGGGGGGGGGGGGGGGGGGCGGGGGGGGCGGGCGGGGGGGGGGGGCGGGGGGGGGGGGCGCGGGGGGCGGACGGGGGGGUAGGACGGGAGUGACCUGCCCUGGACUGUGGGGUAACUUCAGGAGACUGGGGCUGAUACCGGAUAGGAGCUCCUGCUGCAUGGUGGGGGGUGGAUAGGUUCGGCGGGUGGGGAUGGACUCGCGGCUUAUCAGCUUGUUGGUGGGGUAGUGGCUUACCCAGGCUUUGGCGGGUAGCCGGCCUGGGAGGGGGACCGGCGACAUGGGGACUGAGGUACGGACCAGACUCCUACGGGAGGCAGCAGUGGGGAAUAUUGCACAGUGGGGGGAAGCGUGAGGCGGCAACGCCGGGUGCGGGAUGACGGCCUUCGGGUUGUAAACCGCUUUCGCCUGUGACGAAGCGUGAGUGACGGUAAUGGGUAAAGAAGCACCGGCUAACUACGUG
rnacentral:rRNA from 1 species